rnacentral:rRNA from 1 species
AUGCUGCCAAAGGAUGGGGGUAUUGAUGAAGAUGUGAACCAUCGAAUCAAAGCCGGAUGGAUGAAGUGGCGCCAUGCUUCUGGCAUUCUCUGUGAUAAGAGAGUGCCACAAAAGCUAAAAGGCAAGUUCUAUAGGACGGCGGUUCGACCCGAAAUCCUGUAUGGCGUUGAGUGUUGGCCGACUAAAAGGCCACAUGUUCAACAGUUAGGUGUGGGGGAGAUGCGCAUGUUGAGAUGGAUGUGUGGCCACAGGAGGGAGGAUCGAGUCCGGAAUGAUGAUAUACGAGAUAGAGUUGGGGUAGCACCAAUUGAAGAGAAGCUUGUCCAACAUCGUCUGAGAUGGUUUGGGCAUAUUCAACACAGGCCUCCAGAAGCUCCAGUGCAUAGCGGACGGCUAAAACAUGCGCAUAAUGUCAAGAGAGGUCGGGGUAGACCGAAUUUGACAUGGGAGGAGUCCGUAAAGAGAGAUCUGAAGGAUUGGAGUAUCACCAAAGGAACUAGCCAUUGA